rnacentral:rRNA from 1 species
UACGUAGGGGGCAAGCGUUGUCCGGAAUUAUUGGGCGUAAAGCGCGCGCAGGCGGUUCUUUAAGUCUGGUGUCUAAGUGCGGGGCUCAACCCCGUGAUGCACUGGAAACUGGGGAACUUGAGUGCAGAAGAGGAAAGCGGAAUUCCACGUGUAGCGGUGAAAUGCGUAGAGAUGUGGAGGAACACCAGUGGCGAAGGCGGCUUUCUGGUCUGUAACUGACGCUGAGGCGCGAAAGCGUGGGGAGCAAACAGG